GCUGCGUAACCUCCGGCAUGCCCCGCCUCCGGCAUGCCCCGCCCCCGGCCGCAGCCAAUCAGCCGCCAGCGCAGGUUGGGACGGGGCGUGCCCGAGGGGCGGGGCGCCCUCCACUGGCAAGCGGCGCGACCAAUCAGCGCGGGCUCUGCCCCCGGCCGCCCCGCUCCACGCGGCCACUGCGCCUUUUCCGGAGAGGGGCGCGGGGUGUCCGGCCGGAGUGGCUGAGUAACUCUGUUGUGCGCGGAGGUUGGUGCGUGUGGGGGCGCGGGUUCGCAUUUUCGAGAUGGCUGAGCCGUCGGACAAGGCCGUGAAGUACUACACCCUAGACGAGAUCAAGAAGCACAACCACGCCAAGAGCACCUGGGUCAUCCUGCACCACAAAGUCUACGACGUGACCAAGUUCCUGGACGAGCAUCCUGGUGGGGAAGAAGUCUUAAGGGAACAAGCUGGCGGUGAUGCUACCGAGAACUUUGAGGAUGUUGGGCACUCCACAGAUGCUAGAGAAAUGUCCAAAGCAUACAUCAUUGGGGAGCUUCAUCCAGAUGACAGAUCAAAGCUAGCCAAACCUUCGAUAACUUAAAAUCUGAUUGCUAGAAGUCUUAUGAAUUCUUUGAGGACACUACCCAUGUCUUCUUCAUCUUUACAUCUCUGAACAUAGUAGGUGCUCAGACUCUUAAAGGUGAUGUUCCAAGGAAAGUCUUAUUACUACUAUUGAUUCUAAUUCCAGUUGGUGGACCAAUUGGGUGAUCCCAGCCAUCUCGGCACUGAUUGUAGCCCUGAUGUACCACCUCUACACAGCGGAAGACUAAUCCCUUCCCAGAAGCUAAUGAAAGAAAAGACUGCUUCAGACACGGGAUAGAGAAGCCAAUGUAACGGUCUACUGGGAGUGACAGAAACGUCCACUGAAAAAUGAUUGUAAUGUGUCUGUCUCUCUUUUUCCUACAUUAGAAACAAAACAAAAAGAGCCAUUCUGUUCUUUCUACUCUUGAACUUUUCUUUUAGAGAAUGCCUUUUUAUUCACAAACAUAAUUUUGAUGUUUCCCACUACAUAAUUCAGUUAUUGUGCUAAGUAUGACCAUUUUAAAAUACACCUGACUUUGAAAAUACCCCACCAAGCUUGCCUGUCUAGUUGGCAUGUAAUUCUCUUUGAUUUUCAGAAUCCUUGGUUAUUUAGCAGGAUCCGUUAGUACACUGGUCCUUCAGACCUGAUGGCAAGUGUGACUCGGGGUGAGGGGGCAGCCUGUGCGUCUCUCCUGCGCAUCUUUGUAUUUCAUCAAAUAACCCAAGUAUCUCAUGUUUCCAAUGUGGUGGCUUCAUCAAGGAAAUUAAGAACGGCCCAGAAAGUAUAGCUUAAAGGUUUCUAAAAUUGUUUUACCUGACAUGGAUGAUAAAAAGCAAAGGUGGCCUAGAGGACCCAUAAAAGAGACUUCAACUCUUCCUUGAUUAGGAACACCAAUGACAUAAACAAACACCUGUGAACUCUGAGAGAAAAUUAUAACUGCACAUUUUCUCAACUUAACAGUAUCCUUCCAUUAUAUCUGUCCAUUUUCUCAGCUUAACAGUAUGCUUCCAAAGAGUUUCUCAGUUUUGUGGUUUCUAAAGUUUUAAAAGUUCCUCAUUAGAGGUAAAAAGUGUUCUUUACUCUUCUAAGGAAAUGUUGCUUCCUCGAUUUGUAAAAACAGAGCUGUGAAGGAGAUUAUGGUUCAUUUGGUAUCUGAUCUUUGAAGACAUGCUGCUGCCAGCGAGUGAGUCACCGGGAGUCUGUGCGGCUCUGUCCACCUUCCCACUGCAGCUCAGGCCCGGCCGACUAGGUCAUCUCGUCUUCCAUUUACUCUUCUCUGCCCCAUCCUUUUUUUCCUUUAAACGUGGAAAAUUGAGGGAUGGAUUUUUUAGACCCUAAAUACUUUGUAGUUAACCAUGAUCACAUGUGUUCCCAUUGGCACAUAAGCCACAUGAGCAGUGGAGUUCUUCAGAAAUGGCUAAAACUGUGGGAUAGAAUUUUGUACUAUUACUACAAAGUUAGAUUUUUAUAAUCAAUGGCAUGCAUCCUCCAUACUCUGCCUUCUUUGUCACUGAAACUUAGAGUGAAUGUAGGCAAAGGUGUGGGGAAAGAUGGCUGUGUUGCAAGUGAAAAUUUAUCUUGCAGAAGAAUUCUUUACUCAAAUUUUAAUAAACAAAAUCAUGCCUCUUAUAAUGGAUUUGAAGUGGAGUGCUUUGAAACAAACUUAGGAGUUUUACUCACAGAUAAUAAAACUCAGUAAGCUCUGACAUAUACAUGCAGUUACACAUAUUUAAUCAUGGGUAGGUCAGUAGCUUACUAAAAAAAUGACACGUGCCUUGAUACUGUGUUUU